rnacentral:tRNA from 1 species
UCCCUGAUGGUCCAGUGGCUAGGACUCCGCACUCUCAAUGCAGGGGCCCUGAUUUAAUCCCUGGUCAAGGAA